rnacentral:rRNA from 1 species
UACGUAGGGGCCUAGCGUUGUCCGGAAUUAUUGGGCGUAAAGAGCUCGUAGGCGGUUCGGCAAGUCGGAUGUGAAAUCUCCACGCUCAACGUGGAGGGGCCAUUCGAAACUGCCGUGACUCGAGUCCGGUAGGGGAGUGUGGAAUUCCCGGUGUAGCGGUGAAAUGCGCAGAUAUCGGGAGGAACACCAGUGGCGAAGGCGACUACCUGGCCUGUUCUUGACGCUGAGGCGCGAAAGCUAGGGGAGCAAACGGG